UGACGUGUAGCUCAGUUGGUAGAGCGCAGCACUGAUGAUGCUGAGGUCGUAGGUUCGAGCCCUACUGCGUCAA
rnacentral:tRNA from 1 species